GACGAACGCUGGCGGCGUGCUUAACACAUGCAAGUCGAACGGAAAGGCCCUGCUUUUGUGGGGUGCUCGGGUGGCGAACGGGUAAGUAACACGUGAGUAACCUGCCCUUGACUUUGGGAUAACUUCAGGAAACUGGAGCUAAUCCCGGAUAGGAGCUCCUGCUGCAUGGUGGGGGUUGGAAAGUUUCGGCGGUUGGGGAUGGACUCGCGGCUUAUCAGCUUGUUGGUGUGGUAGUGGCUUACCAAGGCUUGGACGGGUAGCCGGGCUGGGAGGGUGAGCGGCCACAUUGGGACUGAGAUACGGCACAGACUCCAACGGGACGGAACAGUGGGGAAUAUUGCACAGUGGGCGGAAGCCUGAUGUAGUAACGCCGCGUGGGGUAAGACGGCCUGCGGGUUGUAUACCGCUUUCGCCUUUGACGAAGCGUGAGUGACGGUAAUGGGUAAAGAAGCACCGGCUAACUACGUG
rnacentral:rRNA from 1 species